rnacentral:tRNA from 1 species
GAAGGAUUAGUUAAAACAUAAUUUAUGCUUGUCAAGCUUACGUUACUACAUAUAAGUAGUAUCCUUCA